GAGGUGUGUGUGAUGUGUGUUCACUAGGAUAUUCUGGAGGUGUGUGUGGUGUGUGUUCACUAGGAUAUUCUGGAGGUGUGUGUGGUGUGUGUUCACUAGGAUAUUCUGGAGGUGUGUGUGGUGUGUGUUCGCUAGGAUAUUCUGGAGGUGUGUGUGGUGUGUGUUCACUAGGAUAUUCUGGAGGUGUGUGUGGUGUGUGUUCACUAGGAUAUUCUGGAGGUGUGUGUGGUGUUUUCACUGGGAUAUUCUGGAGGUGUGUGUGGUGUGUGUUCGCUAGGAUAUUCUGGAGGUGUGUGGUGUGUGUUCACUAGGAUAUUCUGGAGGUGUGUGUGAUGUGUGUUCACUAGGAUAUUCUGGAGGUGUGUGUUCACUAGGAUAUUCUGGAGGUGUGUGGUGUGUGUUCACUAGGAUAUUCUGG